rnacentral:lncRNA from 1 species
UUUAACUCUCGUCUGUUUUCCAUCAUAGGGCUGCCAGUGACGCUAUGAUAGAGAUGAGAAGGAGAGUAGCUAUCUGACGUAAAUUUGACCGGACUAAAGCCAGCGAUGCUAUUUUCCGGUAAAUUUUACCAUAACAAUGACCAAAUAAUGGUCGUCAUUGGCCGGAUCUAAUUUUUAUUGGCUUUUAUUUGGUGAAUUUGGAUGGAUUACCGGGCGGAAUGUCUUUAUCAGUGAGAAAGAGAGAAGAACAAGGGGACGACGGCGGUGCAAAUAGGCUUCACCGGCCGGUGGUGAAGGUAGGUGGCGGUGGCGAUGGUUUCAGGGAGGUUUCCGGCGACAUUGGUUCAGUCGAAAGUCGCAGAGUUAGGGAAGAGGAAGACGACGUAGGCGCGGGUGUUUUCGGCUGGUGGGUGGUAGUUGGGUCAUUUUUCUGUCAGUUUCCGGAAAGAAACUCGCCG